rnacentral:rRNA from 1 species
AUUCCAGCUCCAAUAGCGUAUAUUAAAGUUGUUGUGGUUAAAAAGCUCGUAGUUGGAUUUCGGCGGGUAUUGGUUGGUUUGAAUUGCUUCAACACUGACUUUUUUACCCGUGUGUUUUGCCAGAAUUUAGCGGGUGAUCUUCGCCGAUUGUCCGUUGGAACUGGUAGGUUUACUUUGAAAAAAUUAGAGUGCUCAAAGCAAGCUUACUGCUUGAAUAGUUGCGCAUGGAAUAAUAGAAUAGGAAGUCGUUUCUAUUUUGUUGGUUUUCGGAAAUCGACUUAAUGAUUAAUAGGGAUAGUCGGGGGCAUUCGUAUUCAAACGACAGAGGUGAAAUUCUUGGACCGUUUGAAGACGAACUAAGGCGAAAGCAUUUGCCAAGAAUGUUUUCAUUA